rnacentral:rRNA from 1 species
GUAGUUAGCCGGGGCUUCUUAGUCAGGUACCGUCAAUUUCGUCCCUGCUGAUAGAGCUUUACAUACCGAAAUACUUCUUCACUCACGCGGCGUCGCUGCAUCAGGGUUUCCCCCAUUGUCCAAUAUUCCCCACUGCUGCCUCCCGUAGGAGUCUGGGCCGUGUCUCAGUCCCAGUGUGGCUGAUCAUCCUCUCAGACCAGCUACGGAUCGUCGCCUUGGUGAGCCGUUACCUCACCAACCAGCUAAUCCGACAUAGGCUCAUCCGAUAGCGCGAGGCCCGAAGGUCCCCCGCUUUCCCCCGUAGGGCGUAUGCGGUAUUAGCCUGGGUUUCCCCAGGUUAUCCCCCACUACCGGGCAGAUUCCUAUGCAUUACUCACCCGUCCGCCGCUCGCCACCAGGGAGCAAGCUCCCCGUGCUGCCGCUCGACUUGCAUGUGUUAGGCCUGCCGCCAGCGUUCAAUCUGAGCCAUAAUCAAACUCUGA